rnacentral:rRNA from 1 species
GUGCCAGCAGCCGCGGUAAUUCCAGCUCCAAUAGCGUAUAUUAAAGUUGUUGUGGUUAAAAAGCUCGUAGUUGAACCUUGGGCCUGGCUGGCCGGUCCGCCUCACCGCGUGCACUGGUCCGGCCGGGCCUUUCCCUCUGUGGAACCCCAUACCCUUCACUGGGCGUGGCGGGGAAACAGGACAUUUACUUUGAAAAAAUUAGAGUGCUCCAGGCAGGCCUAUGCUCGAAUACAUUAGCAUGGAAUAAUAAAAUAGGACGCGCGGUUCUAUUUUGUUGGUUUAUAGGACCGCCGUAAUGAUUAAUAGGGACAGUCGGGGGCAUCAGUAUUCAACUGUCAGAGGUGAAAUUCUUGGAUCAGUUGAAGACUAACUACUGCGAAAGCAUUUGCCAAGGAUGUUUUCAUUAAUCAGGAACGAAAGUUAGGGGAUCGAAGACGAUCAGAUACCGUCGUAGUCUUAACCAUAAACUAUGCCGACUAGGGAUCGGACGGUGUUAUUCAUGACCCGUUCGGCACCUUACGAGAAAUCAAAGUGCUUGGGCUCCAGGGGGAGUAUGGUCGCAAGGCUGAAACUUAAAGAAAUUGACGGAAGGGCACCACCAGGGGUGGAGCCUGCGGCUUAAUUUGACUCAACACGGGGAAACUCACCAGGUCCAGACACAAUAAGGAUUGACAGAUUGAGAGCUCUUUCUUGAUUUUGUGGGUGGUGGUGCAUGGCCGUUCUUAGUUGGUGGGGUGACUUGUCUGCUUAAUUGCGAUAACGAACGAGACCUUAACCUGCUAAAUAGCCCGCAUUGCUCCGGCAGUGCGCUGGCUUCUUAGAGGGACUUUCGG